rnacentral:rRNA from 1 species
ACAUGCAUACAACAUAGAAUUAAGGCAAUGAAUCCCAUUAGAAUUCCACAGUUAAUUACACUCAAGAUAGAGUAUUACUGGGAUGGGUGACCUUCCAGGAAGUCCUAGUGUUUUACAUGCC